CCGCCCCGGAGAGUUAGGGCUCCCAGCCUAGCGCGCGGAACGGCUGGGGCCGGGGCGCGGAUGCUGGAAGUUCACAUCCCGUCGGUGGGGCCCGAGGCCGAGGGGCCCAGGCAGAGCCCGGAGAAAAGCCACAUGAUCAAGAAGCUGUACAAAGUGCCCGACUUCCCCUCGAAACGCCUGCCCAACUGGAGGACCAGAGGGUUGGAACAGCGCCGGCAGGGCUUGGAGGCCUACAUCCAGGGCAUCCUGUACCUGAACCAGGAGGUGCCCAAGGAGUUACUGGAAUUCCUGAGACUUCGGCACUUCCCCACAGACCCCAAGGCUAGCAACUGGGGCACCCUGGGGGAGUUCCUGCCUGGCGACAGCAGCUCCCAGCAGCACCAGCGGCCUGUCCUGAGCUUCCAUGUGGAUCCCUAUGUUUGCAACCCCUCCCCAGGUGAGGAGGUGCCUAGAUACGGGGCUACAGGGCUGGGUUGUGGGCUUUGCAUUUCUCAGCUCCUGGGACCCUCAGGCAGCAUCUCCUUCCUGCUGCCCACCUCUGGAGCCACUACCUCCUUGCUCCUGUGCCCUGGAGCCUGCUUUGUAGACACAAGGAAAACAAGUUUGGCUUCCCUGGUCUCCAUUUCCUCAGCAGCCUGACUUCUUUACCAAGCUGAUGUGAACAGAAUGUGACCUGGGAAUGCAGAGGCUUCAUUUGGGGUGGACAGCUGCUGUCUGCUGCCUUGGCAGGGGCUCCUACUCCUAAGUGGGGGCUGAGCCCAUGAGCAGGAGCUCAAGGAGCUGCAGGCCUGAGACCAGACCCGUUUAAUUCUAUCCCACAGAGUCGCUGCCCAACGUGGUGGUGAAUGGUGUGCUCCAGGGCCUCUACAGCUUCAGCAUCAGCCCAGAUAAAGCCCAGCCAGAGGCGGCCUGUCACCCUGCUCCUCUGCCACCGAUGCCCUGAUCAGUCCAGAGGCCUUUAGCUGCCUCCUAAGAAAGUCAUGUGCCUCUGUCCUAUGAGCUCCAUAUAAGGCUAGGUCCUCCUUUGGCCUGGACCCAGGACUUAACUACCCAGUGCCCAGUUGUGCCACAUUCCCACUCAAGGCUCAGAACUUGGCUCGCAUUGGUAGCUGGAGGUGGUAGAAUCUGCACGCUCUUAGAGCCCAACAGCCAAGGCAGGGUCAAGAAGAUAAGUAAUAAAGGAAGAAGUCAGCCAGGUGCGGUGGCUCACGCCUGUAAUCCCAGCACUUUGGGAGGCCAGGGUGGGUGGAUCACCUGAGGUCAGGAGUUCAAGACCAGCCUCACCACCAUGGAGAAACCCCGUCUCUACUAAAAAUACAAAAUUAGCCGGGCAUCGUGGUGGUGCAUGCCUGUAAUCCCAGCUACUCAGGAAGCUGAGGCAGGAGAAUCUCUUGAACCCGGGAGGCGGAAGUUGUGGUGAGCCAAGAUCGCGCCACUGCACUCCAGCCUGGGCAACAAGAGUGAAACUCCGUCUCAAAAUAAACAAAUAAAUAAUAAAGGAAGAAGUCAGCUGGGUGCAGAGGCUCAUGCAUGUAAUCCCAACACUUUAGGAGGCCAAGGCAGGAGGAUGCUUGAGUCUGGAAGUUUGAGACCAGCCUGCACAACAUAGUGAGACCUGUCUCUAUAAAAAAAAAAAAUCAAUUUAGAGGUAGGCUAUGAAUAAGUACAGAUACAUCCCUUAACAUAGACUGGAGGGUGGUGGCAAGGGGAGCAAAUGUGGAGGCCCAGUAGCUGGCAAAGUUUAGAAGCAGGGGGCAAAAGCUCCUGCCUGACUUUUCCUGGGUAGCUCCUGGGUCAAAGUUUCAGGCAGGAUCCCAGGGAAGGGGCAGGCACCCAUUGCCACAGGAGAGUUGCAGGCAUGUUGGGAUGUAGGCCUAGGGGAGGUGCUGCAGGCUCAAGAACCAGGCCCACACGUUAUAUAUUAAAAAAAAAAAAAAAAACCCACAUUUUUUUUUUAUUGGUCAGUGUUGGUAGGAGUUUGUUACAAAACUGAGUCCAUGGGCCUGUGGAAUGUGAGGGGAGUGGGUCCGCUCCACCAGAUGCCAGCACCGGGGCCAGUGCAGCUCAGAGCCCUGUGGCGGACUACAGGGCCUGCACAGAUGGUCACUCAAAGAAAGACGUCCCUGUGCCCUACUCCUUGGCGAUGGCAAAGGGCUUCUCCACCUCGAUCUUGCCGCAGUCUGCGAUGAUCACAUCCUUCAGGGGUUUAUCCCGGCUGUCUGUCUUGGUGCUCUCCACCUUUCGCACCACCUCCUGGAAAAGAAAGGUGGAAGUAGGAGGGCACGGUGGGUCAGGAGGUCCACCGCUCAGGAGAAAGGCCCCAGCAUAUGGCUCAGGAGGGCUGAGACCCACAAGUGAUCAACAGCACACAAAACUGGAGGCACCAAAAUUCUAACAGACUCCUGGCCAGAGCAGGGAGAAUGCAGAUUUGACAAGGGGGUGCAGGAAUUUUGUUCCUUUGAAGUAAGACCCAGGUUGGGCCAAGGGUGAGGAGGAGGAAGAGGGUGACCAGGGAAUGUGGCUUCUCAGGGACACUGCGUUCAGCUGCACUCUGUAUACCUCAGGGGUGGGACCAGCACAUCACUGAGUGAAUGAGGGGAGGGAGGCUCCAGCAGUUGUGCAGCCUUCCUGACUGGGCUCUGAGGGGGCUGGAAGAAUUUAGAACCUUGGAGGCAUGGAGGCACAGGGUUUAUUCUGGACAGGAGCACUAGGCCGCAUCUGUGGGUUGGGUCCUUUUGGGAAAGGGAUGGACACAUGGAGCUCCUGCCCCAGGGUCUGUGUUGAAUCCCUGGUGAGGAUUGCCCAGUAGUAGCCCUUGCUUCCAGAACUCACCAUGCCCUCUAGAACUUUGCCAAACACCACAUGCUUGCCAUCUAGCCAGGCUGUCUUGACUGUUGUGAUGAAGAACUGGGAGCCAUUGGUGUCUUUGCCUGCGUUGGCCAUGCUCACCCAGCCAGGCCCGUAGUGCUUCAGUUUGAAGUUCUCAUCGGGGAAGCGCUCACCGUAGAUGCUCUUUCCUGGGAAAAAAGACAGAGCGGGUCUGGGGCGCUGGAUUGGGCCAAAGCAAGCAGACAUUCGGGGCCAGGACUGAGGGGGCUUAACCUGUCCUCUGUGCCAGGCUAGGCUUGAGUGGAAUACAAGGACAGAAAAGCCGCGUCCCUCCUAUCUUCUGGCCUCAGAGCCAAGCCAUGCUCACUGAGGCCAAGCGGGGCAUCAGGCCAGGCUGAUGUGGUGAACAGCUCACAGAAGGAUUACUUCGAGAGGAUAGUUUUGUGGCUUUUAAAUAAGGCGCAUAUUAUCAGCUCCCCUUAGCUAUGGCCCAGGCCUGCCACGGAGGGACUUUGAUGGAGGGAGGUGCCGUGCAGGAUGCAGGGGAGUCAACAGGGUCAGAACUCUCCAGAAAAGGAGGACUGCUGUGGCUGACCAGCCUGUUUUCCUAUGAGCACAAAAGACACAGGCAUAGCUGCAGAGGAGAAAGCAGCCAAAGAUGAGUGGGGAGGGGCAGAAAAGAGGGGCUGCCCCUUGGGUUCUGAAGAGUCAAAGCCUCUUAACAAGGAAUGAACAGGAAUAAAGGACAGCUGUGAGUGUG
rnacentral:sRNA from 1 species